rnacentral:misc_RNA from 1 species
AAUGUCCUUAAUGUUUCUUUCAAUUUUGGCCUACACACAAUUCUCAUUAUGGUCUAAUCAAUUGUAAAUGUUCGCAUGCAAAUGCUAAAUUAUCAACAAAAUCACAUAAAAUCACUGAAAAAUCCAUCAUUCAGAUUGCCAUAACUCAGCAAUGCCAUUAUAAGGUUAAUGGGCAAGACCUUCUGAAUUUUCCUACCAUAUUUACAUAUUUAUACUCCUGAGGUAUUUUUCUUAUUAUAACAACAAUGGACAUUUGGACAGGAUAAAGGAUCGUUACAUUUACAUGGAAUAUCAGUGAAAAAUUAACAAUGCAACAGAACAUCACUGAUAGAUGGUUUCGCUUCACACUACAGGUCUAAAGGGGCCUUUCUAAAUCGGAGAUUGAGCUUAAUGGAAAAAAAUUAUCACCUCAUUGAGAAUCUUAAUACAGACCUGACGCUGCACCUUUUGGAUGUACAAGGUCCAUUUUAUUAGCAGACUUAGAAAGGUGCAAUAGAGAUAGAUAUAUAU